rnacentral:lncRNA from 1 species
CAGGGAUUGAACCCAGGGGCACUUAACCACAGAGCCACAUCCCCAAGCCAUUUUUUUUUUAAUUUUGAGAAAGAGUCUCACUAAGUUGUUUAGGGCCUCACUAAGUUGCUGAGGCUGAUUUGAACUUGCGAUCCUCCUGCUUCAGCCUCUUGAGCUACUGGUGUGCCCCGUGGCACCGGGACCACGAAGGGCUUUCUGAAUGCCUAAUGUGAAUGGGUAGGCAGUGGAUCCCCCUUCAAAUCCCCUGCACAGGAGAGUGAGAUGUUCUGAGGGACAUGGAGAUCACCUGGGCAUUAGUUGCUAGGACAUGUUGAAGGAGGAUUCAAUUAGUGACAGGAAGACUCUCUUAAGGAAUUUCAUAACAAUGAAGCAGAGUGGUUAAGAACUUGGACUUUGGCGGGCUGGGGUUGUGGCUUAAUGGUAGCCAUAUGCUUGCCUAGCACUUGUGAGGCCCUGGGUUUGAUUCUCAGCACCAGAUAUAAAUAAUAAAAUAAAGAUCCAUCGACAACUAAAAAAUAUAUAAAGAAAAAAGAAUUUGGACUUUGGAGGCAGCCAAACCUGCAUCCAAAUAUCAGUUCUGACUUCAGCUAGUCACCCAAUCCUAGUGCCCCCCCACUGCCCAUCCUAGGGAUUGAAUUUAGGGCCUUGUGCAUGUUUGGCAAUUACUGUACCACUGAGCUAUAUUUCCAGCCCCAAGUCACCCAAUUCUAAACCUUGUGGACUGAAAAAAGUUUGAAGCAAAAG